rnacentral:rRNA from 1 species
UACGGAGGGUGCAAACGUUGCUCGGAAUCAUUGGGCGUAAAGCGAGCGUAGGCGGUCUCGUAAGUCGGAUGUGAAAGCCCUCGGCUCAACCGAGGAAGUGCACCCGAAACUGUGAGACUUGAGUGUCGGAGAGGGUGGCGGAAUUCCCGGUGUAGAGGUGAAAUUCGUAGAUAUCGGGAGGAACAUCAGUGGCGAAGGCGGCCACCUGGACGAUAACUGACGCUGAGGCUCGAAAGCGUGGGGAGCAAACAGG